GCCGAGCCUAGUAACGUGGGCUUGUAACCCAGUGUGGGGGCAUUAAAGGUGGAAUGUGGAAAGUUCUUGUUA
rnacentral:sRNA from 1 species